rnacentral:rRNA from 1 species
AUUGAACGCUGGCGGCAGGCCUACCACAUGCAAGUCGAGCGAGCGGCGGACGGGUGAGUAAUGUCUGGGAAACUGCCUGAUGGAGGGGGAUAACUACUGGAAACGGUAGCUAAUACCGCAUACCAUCAGAUGUGCCCAGAUGGGAUUAGCUAGUAGGUGGGGUAAUGGCUCACCUAGGCGACGAGCCCUAGCUGGUCUGAGAGGAUGACCAGCCAAACUGGAACUGAGACACGGGCCAGACUCCUCCGGGAGGAAGCAGUGGGGAAUAUUGCACAAUGGGCGCAAGCCUGAUGCAGCCAUGCCGCGUGUGUGAAGAAGGCUUUCGGGUUGUAAAGCACUUUCAGCGGGGAUGCGUUACCCGCAGAAGAAGCACCGGCUAACUCCGUGCCAGCAGCCGCGGUAAUUC